UAAGGAACAAGUGAAAUAAGUAAACAAGACCAUUUUUCAGAGAGCCCUACGAGGAAAACAGCGUGUCCCGUCCCGGGGACGAACCUCUCUGCGAAGGCAACAAGUGGCCACAGGAGGGUUCGAGUGGGCAGGUGGCGUGAUCUGAGUGCAUGUUUAAAGGAUAACUCAGGCCACUUCGUGGAGAGAGCUGGCGGGUUCAGGGAGGCCAGUCAGAGGCUGUCGCAGUGGCCCAGUGGCUUUUAAUAUUUAAACAGACAGUCUGGGGGCUGCCUUUUGUAUUCUUGUCCUGGGUCCCACGGAAGCGAGGGGCGAGCCUGCCACCUCCACUGCUUGCUUGCUGCAUGUUCCCCAAAUGCUGGAUGGGGAGUCUGGGGCCCCAUCAUUUAUCAAAGGAGUGUCCCACCAAAAUAGAAUAGAAGGCUUUUCCCAAUUUGC